AGCUCUUCCUCUUUUUUGGUCCCGCGGCGCUGGGUAUGUUGUGUGCUGGCUAUGGCCCCGCCGUUCAACAUGCAUCAGCUACACUCUUCCUUCUUGUGGCUUCAGUACAGAUCUGCCCCCGAAUGUGGAGACUUAAAGCUACUUCUUCCCAAGAACUUGAAUCCUGCACUUCAGAGAUACAUAGAAGAAACAUCACCUGGCACUGAGAGAUUAAACUAAGCUGUUACAAGAUGGAUGCUACUGCUGUCUGUGCCACAUUUGAGAGUUUGCUUUUAGAGAUGCUUGCAAAUUAAUUUUGUUCUUAAAAAAUGUGAGGCGAAGAUUAGUAUCACUUCCUAAUGUUUCUCAUUGUGAAGUGUGAUGGAACUGGGAAGUGAUGGACGUGGUAGUGCUCCCAGGAAAAUACAAUUUCACAUCUUCACAGGGUGAAGCUUGCAUGGAGUUUAAGAAACAAGAUAGAUGUGUCUGAGGAAGGGACUUCUGUCUGCAGCCUCACUGUGGGUAAAGAGGCAACUCUGAAACUGGAAAUGAAGAGUUGAGAAGGUGGAAGAUUGCUCAUAAAUGGGUUACACUUGCAUGAACAGCACUAAAAAAGCCAAUGUGUUCUUACCUCACUGGUAAUGUUUGCCUGAUGCUGAUUGGAGCCAAUAAAAAUCUGCAAACCCUA